rnacentral:lncRNA from 1 species
UUUGGCAUUUCUUCCAAUGAAUUAGACCCACUAAUAUCAAGAUAGCGCAAAUUAAUCAACUUCCCCAUUUUUGAAGGCAAUUCAAGAAGAGAAUCACAAUUACUCAGCAUCAUCGUUUGCAAAUUGCACAAACAACAUAUUGAUUCAGGUAAUCUUUUAAUCCAUGUUGUAGAGAGAUCCAAGUAACGCAACUGUUUUAAAUUGUGUAUUGAAUCAGGCACAUCUCUUAUGCAGUAUGCACGCAAUGACAACACCCGCAAAGAUUUAAAUUUUGGUAAUAUAUUGUGUAAAACUCUUGUACUCAACAAAUAAGGAGGCCAUGAUGUCUUCACCUCUAAGAUUGUUCUGAGAUGUUUGGCUUCACCAACAGGCUCAAAAGUUUCAAACACAGCUCCCCGGUCAUCGUCACUUUCAAAGUGGAAAAAAUGGCGAGCCUUAUCAGAUAUUUUUGGCAGCUUACAAUCUUCCAAUCGAAUGCAAAAUUCUUGGGAGAUAUGUUGAGCCAAGUCAUGUAUCAGAUCAUGCAUUACAAAGCAUGAUUUUUCUCCUCUAAUACAUUUUUGAAAAAACGACUUUGCUAAAAGUUCAUUUAAAUAUGAAUCACCUACCUCUUCCAUUCUUCUGUUACUUUGUCCUGAGUGUAAAAACCCUUCUGCCAUCCAUAAUAGAAUCAGCUUCUCUUUGUGGAAUUCAUAGUCCUUGGGAAAAUUUGAACAGUAAGCAAAACAACGCUUCACAGGAGGAGAGAGAUGCUGAUAACUCAAUCUAAGAGACGGAAGAAUUUCAUGAUCAGUUUGGGAAUGCCACGUUUCGCUAUUCAAAAUAUCUUCCCAUUCUCCUUUUUCGGCCUUGUAGUACAAGAGGCUCCCGAGUGCUUUAACAGCCAAAGGCAAUCCUUGGCACUUGUCCACAAUCUUUCUUCCUAUGGGCUCAAGCUGUGGAUAAGCGCUGGAGUCUCCAUUUGGAAAUGCAAGUUUUGUAAAUAUGGACCAACUAUCUUCAGGGCUUAAUGUCCCCAAAUGAUGAGUAGGGACUGCUCGCAUGAUUUUUGCAGCAGUUUCACUGCGACUAGUCACAACAAUCUUGCUUCCCUCUGCUGCAGUGAGGAGUGGAUUUCGUAGGCCUACCCAAUCAUCAGACUUCAUAUCCCAGACGUCGUCCAGAACAAGAAGAAAUUUCUUGUUACCUACUCUCUCUUUGAGUUUAAGCUGAAGCAAAUUUAGGGUGUCAUCAGGUUUAGUUUCAGAACCGAUUUCCUUGAGAAUUGAUUUUGUCACCUCCUCGAUGAGAAAAAUCUGAGUGGAAACACAGACCCAUGCUUUCAAGUGGAAGUGUUGCUUGACCGUGUCAUGGUUAUAGAGAAGCUGAGCGAGUGUGGUCUUGCCGUUGCCGCCGAUGCCCACUAUGGACAUCACAUCUAUGUUGUUGCCUGUUGCAUUUUCCUUAUCAGAAAGCAACCACUUCACCAUCUCCUCUUUGAUUCCAUCCCUGCCCACCACAGAGGACUCAUCCACCAAAGAAGUGGUUGGUGGCCUUGGUGACAGUUUAUCGCCCUCACCUUCUUUCAGCCCAAGCUUCUCUUUUUCUUCAGCAAUAUCUUCAAGCUUAGCAAUCAUCUCCUUCACCCUGGACUCCAUGCUUUGAUUGGCAAAUGGAGCCUUAACCCUGGUAGAGAACUUGUUCCACACCUGAUAAAUUCCACCAGGUUGGGAGUCAGCAGCUUCAAUCUCGCACCGCAAGGCUUCGGUAGCGAUCUCGUCCAACAGGUCCUCCGCAUGAUACACAGCAUCCUUAACCUGGACCAGCCAGUCUUUGACUAGUGGGUCUGAAAAUUGCUUCAUCUCCGCAUCAUUGAGCGCUUUGUGGACAACCAGCAAUUUCCUCUUCAAUUUGUUGAGGAGUUCAUGGCUAAGCUUCUGUCCCCGGAUGAAGUUCAUCAACUCCGGAGAAGUCAACCUGUCGAAUAGAACUUGAAGUGAAGCGGAUAGGAGUGCGUCGGCCAUAUCUGUUGACUGUUGCUUUGCAAAUCAAAGGAACUCAGCGAUUCAGUUCAGGAAAAAACGAAGGUAAAGCAGAUGCAGAAUCACACCACCAAACUGUAGUGGACUGGUUUGAACACGAGAUCCAAAAAUAAUGGAAAAAUAAAGAAGGCCACAGAGAGGCACAUGGGGCUGCACCAAACACCAAGGGAUGCACAUGGUCUGUCACCCUCGAGCAUAAAACUCAUGUUAUGUUUAUUAAUGACUCUUAUCUUUUUCAAAUCCAUAUAUAAUUUUAUCUAUAACUUCAUGCAUGUUUUUUUCAAUUGUUAGUAUUGAUUUUUUAUUUUUUUGUUUUUAAUAUAUUGGUGAAUCAAUUGGUGGAGUUGGGGCAGAUCUUUUGACAUUGAUCUAGGUCUUCAAUUUUUUCUAGAUUUGCUCUUUAGAAUAUUGUAUUUUAUUUACCAUUGCAAAAUAAUUAUUCAAGCUCUUAACUUGAAAAUAUUAAAAUUAUUUUUAACAAUUAGCAUUUUUGUUAAAAAAAAUAACUCGGUAGUUUAUGAAUUAAAGUAUGAAAAUUGUCAUUUUCUAUGUUUUCAUAAUGAUGUAAUUGUGAAACUCCUAACCCCCCAAAAAAAAAAAAAAGGAGAAAAGAAAUUUCACCUUAAUUGGCUUUUGUCAAAGGCAUAUAUACCUUUUACUCGCAUUAGUUCUAUACCUACUUGGAUAUCCUUGGUUUUGUACAACCGAUAAUGAAUUUCAUUCAAUUUGAUCGAUUUUGUAGUUCUUUAGUCGAUUUUAAUCAUAAUAAAAGAUUGUCUAUAUUUGAAUGUUUAUGUAAAUUCAACUGAAUUAAGAAUUUUUAUAUGACAAAAAUAAAUCUUAAUUAAAUAACCUUAUUAUUGCCUUCUCUAGCUAUAGCAGUCAUAAAACUUCUCAUAAUUACAUCAUCACCACCUUCACUUUCCAAUCUUGAAGCCACCUUGCAAGAUUCCUUAACAACAUCAUUAUUCAAUUCAAAAAAAUUUCACAUAAAUUAAAUAUAUAAAAAAAAAAAAUCAUUUUUCUCAAUUUUUAUUUUUUUUCUUUUCUGAGCAUUUGUCAAGCAAAUAAAAAAUAGGCUAAAUAACUUGAAAAUAAAUUGAAUAAUAAACCAAAGGAUGGAUUGGUAAGAUUAUUUAGUAUUGUUUAAUCAUAAUAAACAAAAGAGCAUUGCAAAGAUUAUUAUAAGAUGCCUACUUAAAUCAAUAAUAUCCUCCUCACUUCCUUCCAUAUACACGAGAUUCAAAAAAUAAAAAAAUAGAAUAAGCCAUGCGCAUGAGAUUCAUUUAGUUUUAUCGAGAGAGUUGUGCCUCUCAUGUACACACACACGCCAGAUUAAAUUGAAAGAUGAAAUAAGUCAUAGAAGGCUCAUGGGGCUGCUUAAAGCCUCACAGAGAGAGAGAGAGAGAGAGAGAGAGAGAGAGAGAGAGAGAGAGAGAGAGAGAGAGAGAGAGAGAGAGAGAGAGAGAGAGAGAGAGAGAGAGAGAGAGAGAGAGAGAGAGAGAGAGAGAGAGAUGGUUUUUUUUCUUUUCUUUACUUUUGUGAAAAAACAAUCAUUUAUGCUAUGUUUGGUUGGUUCAUAGAAAGUUUGAAGGAAGAUCGUAAGACAAAAAAAAAAAAAAAAAAACAUUGCAAAGAAAAAAAAUGAUUUAAAAUUAAUAAAUUCAUUUUACAUAUAUAUUAAUUCUUUGAUAUAAGAUUAAAUAAUUUAAAAAUAUAUAAUUUUCUUAAUCAUUUUAAUUACAUUUGACUUUUUUUCAUAUAUUUUUUUCCAUAUUUUAUAUGAUAUAAUAAAAAAUGAUAAAAUCAUUUUUCUUAACAUUUUCUUCUUUUCUUGAUAAUUUUCAGGAACUAAAUAUAAAUUUAUAUUAAAAGUAAUCCUUUAUAUUAAAGUCAUACUUGGUUCUCAUAAAGUGUUCCAAAAAAAAAUGUUAAAAAAAAAUUAAUUUUCUCCUGUUUGAUUUUACUAUUAAGAAUAUGAAAGAAAGUCAAAUAUAAUUAAAAUUAGUAAAAAAAUUUAUAUAUUUUCAAGUUAUUUAAUUUUUAUAUAAAAGAGUUAAAUAAGUAAAAUGAGUUUAAAAUAUGAUAUAAAAACAAUUUAUUGACUUUUCACAUCUAAUUAUCUUAUCCUUCAUUUGUAAUACUAGAAGUAUCAAAGAAAUGAAAAAAAGGAAACCUACAUGAGAAUUUAAAAUCAUAUGUUUGAAUGAGAGUGAAAUCUCAAAUACUAAAUUACAUAUAUUUUUAUUAAUGAAGAAAAAUGAGAAAUAAUAUUUUUUUUAAAAAGGAUCUAAAUUUUUUCCCUUUACUUUUUUUACAUGUCACAAACAUGGUUCUCUUAGUUUCUAAUCUUUCCUAAUUCAUCAAAGAAUAAAUCCCCAUAGUCAAUGACACAAGUACUGCAGACAUGGCAAUGAGAAUUCUGCUAAUGAGAAGCUAGCACCAAAAGAUUUAGGUCUUCUCUUAUGACCCAUAACCAUGACAUUCAUCUCAAUGAUCAUCUCUAUGAAGACAAAAAUUCCUCGUCACAAUACCUAAGAAAUGCCAAAACAGGAACAAAACUUCCUACCAAACUUCAAGCCCAUCUGCCUACCUUUAAAAGGUGGUCCACUGGGUCAAUGCAAAAUAGACCAGCUUUUAUUACAGAGACUCCCAAUCAAUGAAUGCAGGCUGCUAAACCAAAAUAUAAAACAAUAAGAUGUUUUUAGGUUAUUGAGAACAUGAACCAAAACAAAGAAAACUUUUUUGUUUUAGUGAAAAAUAAGACAUUGAAAGGAUAUGCAGUCAUAAAACUUGCAAUUUUGUAUAUUGCAGAGUUAAAUCUCCACUUUUAAUACACUGGAAAGGGAAUAGCAGCAAGAAAAGACCAAAGCAAUUAAAAUUUCUUACUGCCAAAGCACAAUACAUCCCUACUUUACUCCAUGCUUGUAUAAGAGAACAUAGACCCAGAAAGUGACAAAAACCUAAGCAUCCAUGGUUUUCCAUAGUUAUCAAGUGGUUCACUUGGUUUAGGCAUACUGCCAAAUAAAAACAGAGCAUGACCUUGCCAGUACCAUUAGAAUAUGGCAACUAUCUGCAUCCAAAAUGUGAGCACUUAGGUUCAAUCCUCCUCGACUCCUCUUCAAUAUUUGUUUCAAACUUGAAGCUUCACGAAAAAAGAAAAUCCCUAACACACCUGCCAUCGUUAAAAAAAUUAGCAUCAACAAGCAGACAUAAGAUUCCUUGCACCUAACAUUGACAUGGACUCAAAUUAUCCAAAACUAACCUAAAUUCAUGGAGAUGAAUGCCAAUCAAGCAAAGCACGUGCCUGUGUGAUGUUUGGUCAGUCAUCUGGAGAAGCUUGGAGCACGCCCAUGAUUAGAUCUGUCACAUGAGCUGUAUUUUGGUAAUUCUGGAAUGCGGUAUUUUCUAUUUAAGAUAAUAGAUGGUGAGAAACAUAUAGUCAGAUGAAUAAUAAAACACAUACUCUAGUAUUCUACUGAUUGAUUCACCCAUUCACUAAUCAUUAAAAAGUCUAGAAAUAUAGAAGCUUAAAUUUUCGAAUUUAUGGACAUAGUAAAUAAGCUCAUAAUCAUCAUUUCUAUACAAAAUCAGGAAGUUCAAUGAGGAAGUUGCACUCAACCGCCUUAAGAUAAUAAGGACAUCAGAAUAGAAAACAAAGCUACAAAAAGUCUUAAAGCCAAGAUCAAUUUAAUUAUAGUAUUCUUCUUGGGAGUUGCAUGGUAUAAACCUUCGUUAAGACAUGGACUCUAAUUUUCUUUUCAAAGAAACAGCUAACAUCCUGAUCGGAUAAACAAUGAGAGCCAAUGCCCAGGGCCACUAACAGGAAUGUAGGCAUGGAAACAACAAUUCUGCUAAUGAGAAGCAGCACAAGAAGACCGUCACCUUCAGGAUCCAUGUCAUUGAUCCAAAUGAUCAACUCAGCAACAGUUAAAAAAAAAAAAAGUAUACAAAAAUUCAUAGUCACAGUCGAGAUCUAAGAAAUGCCCAUAAAAGAACAUAACCACAUCAAAAUUAGGACAAAACAAGUACAACUACCUAAUAAUAAAAAAAUUGACCAAAAUACUUCAUGUAAACAAAUAAAAAAAGUUGACCAAUUCAGUAUCAUAAAAUACUUCAUAUAAAAUUUUUGCUUUUAAAAUCGUAGUUUGCUAAAUGAUCCUAGUUGGUUGAUAUGGAACACAUGGAGAAGAAAAGAAAAAACAAAAAGUAUUGAGUAAUUUAGUUUGAUAAAAAUUAAAAAGAAAAUGGAAAUUUAUUCGGAGAAGUAGCAUCAAUUACCCAUGGAAUAAGUGCCUGCAGAUGUCUCCCAAAGAAUCUUAAUUCAUUCGUAAAGCUACAAUAUUGACUACAAACUAACCAAAAAGAUCAAAAACUUUAAAUUCAUGCAAAUUAAUUUAUAAUAAAACAAAAAGAAGAGAAAUUCAUUCUCAUAUACAAAUUCUAAAAGGAAGAGUGACAAGAAAAGAUUAACUAAUAAAAACUCCAAAGGGGUGUGGUGGUAUAGAAACUUCGACCUUCCUCAUUGUUGGCCUAAUUACAGCCUCAAAGAUGAUUAAAGAGCCAUUGCUCAUGUGAUUAAAAUAUGAUAACUAGCUUUGUUAAAAUGUGAAUUACCAAGAAUCAAUCUUCCUUUACUCAUCUAGAGAUGCGUAAAUUCUAGAGAUUGUCAGAAAUUCUGAAAAGUACUUGACAGCUACUUUAUGAAUUGGAACAUAAAGUUUCUGAAUAAAAUAAGCAUAGAAUUAAUUACCUGACUGUAUAUUGGUGCGGUACCACUUUCAUUAAAAUAUCACACCAUUGAUCACUAUUUUUGGAGGUGAGAGCAAGCAAUUGCAUAUAUAUGAGAUCAGGGUACCCUCUGAUUUGCAAGUAACGUCAAUAGCCUGUCCGAUAUGAAGUUCAUAAUUAUAUGAACUCUAUUGCAUUCUCUGCUUCCCCUUCAUCAGCUUGGCAACUAGGCAUUUGAAAAAAUUUGGUCUUUAAAAUCUGGAUCCAAGAAAGAAUAACCAUACAGGCACACACACCUGGACAGCCUCCCCUCUUCAUCAAACAAUUCAAUAGCUGUUAAAUCCAUGGCCGCUGGUGCCUAUGCUGCACAUGUCAUCAGGAAUUGCCUGCACAACAGACCAAGAAGAAGCAUUUGAGUGCUUAUAUGAUCUAGCAGCUCCAUCAGAAUCAAGUGUUGCCCUGUAGUAAUAGUCACUCCUUAAGUCUCUUAUGCUUAAGUCUCUCCCCAUGUGCAGGUAGGUAUCUGGGUCUGAUUGUUACUCAACCCAACCAAGCAUGGGCAUCCAUACUUGAUACUUUUCAGGUUGGUCAAAUUGAAAUGAGUUACAUAUAAUGCUCAUCUCCCGUAUCGUUUUUGAAGCUAGUUCGGCUAGACUAAUAGACAAAUAAGCCCUCAAAAUAAACUUGCCCAGGUUGAGAACAGACCUUAUAUUGAGAUAGUCCACAACCAACUCUGCUCUUAAUAUAUAAGAAAUAAUGAAAAAUAAAUAGUCAAACAAAUAAUAAAAUGCAUAACCUAAUAUCCUAUUGAUUGAUUCACCCAGUUUUUAACCAUUAGAAAGUCUGGAAAUAUAGAAGAGUGACUUUUCGAAUUCAUGAGGAUGGUGAAUAAGCUUAGAAUCAUCAUUUCUACACAAAGUCAGUUGGUUCGAUGAGGGAAUUACACUCUUAACUACUUUAAGAUAAUACAACAACAUCAAAAAUAGAAAAUUGAACUACAAAAGGUCUUAAAUUAAGAUCAAUUUAGACAUAAUAUACUUCUUGGGAGUUUCACGGUAUAAACCUUUGUAAAGAAUUAGACUCUCCUUCUUUAAGACUAUGGACCCAAGACUCAUACUCACUGAUAGAAGUGCAGGCAUGCCAAUGAGAAUUCUGCUAAUGAGAACCUAGCAUAAGAAUAUUAAUGUCUUCUCCUGUGAUCCAGAACUAUAGUCCGAAAUGGGAUCCAUGACAUUGAUGUCAAUGAUCAUCUCCAUGACAACAGAAAAUAUACAGAAAUUCCUAGUCAUAGUCAAGACCUAAGAAAAGCCAAAACAAGAACAACGAAACAUUAAAAUUGGGACAAAAACAAGUGCAUAAGCUUCCUAAUGAACAUUUAAGUCUAUUAGCUUACCUUUAAAAAGUGGACCACUUAGUUAGCACGCAAUAGACCAGCUUUUGUUACGACUCCCAAUCAAUGCAGGUUGCUAUUAUCAUAACCGAACUUUGUUCCUCAUAAGCAGUCUUUUAUGCUGAUACUGGUAACUUAAUAUGGAACAUGUACAAAAAAGAAAAGAAAUAACAAAAAGUAGUAAUUAAUUUCGUUUGAUAUUGAAUGGAGUAAAGUCACAACAUGUGCAUAUGCAAGUAUAUUAUCCUAAAAACCACUUGCAAAAGGCACCAAGUACCCAACUAAUAUCAGACUUGAAUAACCAUGAAUUACCUAAAACUGUAUCCACAUGUUCCUGCAUGAGAUAGAUACACAGAUAGUUUCAACUUUGCUCAUUUGGAAAGAUCAAUUAAAGCUACAAUGCAAAUUACCUGGGAUGAAUUUUCCUUUGUUGGAGAACUUCUCAAAUCAAACAAAUAGAGUUUGUUGCUUGCUCAAAUCUUCAACAACUGGACCAGCCAAAGACUUGUGUAGAUGUACAAUUCCUAAAGAGUGUUGAGCAUAUUAGGAGCCUUUGAAUUCUGAAAGGAGGUCAAGACCUUAACAAUGUAGAAGGUUUAAGUAAUUCUGUUAUCAAACAUGGUAAAAUUGAUUAAACAAAACCUUGAACAGUGAGGUAUUUUCUUCUAAAAAAGAUGAGUCCACCAUUGUGUGGACUAUUGAGAAUAUAAAAAAUACGACAUCAGAAUUAUAAGUAACUAAAAUUACCUACCAAUAAGCAGCUAGCUAGAAUAAAUCCAUGGUUUUCUCCAUGCCUGUAUUAGAGAAAUGACAAAGAAAGUGAGGAAAAAAAAUCAAAGCAUUCAUGUUUUUCGACAGUAAUUAAGUGGUUCACUUGGGUUAUGCAUACUGCCAAAGCAUGAAAAUAUGAGUACCAUUAAAAUAUGAUCUGAACUGUCUGUGUCAAAAUGUCAGCACCUAGGUUGAAUCCUCAUCUACGGCUUUUCAAUAACAUUUGUCCUAGGGUUGAAGCUUCAAGAAGAAGAAAUCUUAAAUCAAAUAAAUGGAGCUAAGGAAUUAUGCAGAUAUAUUCUUGAGAUUAGAAAUUUGGAUGGCUACAUCAGGAAUUGGAACAUAAAUUUUCUAACAAAAUAAGUUCAAGCACAAAGCAAUUACCUGCCGAUAUGUUGGUGCAGUGCCAUUUUCAUUAAAAUAGCACAUCAUCGAUCACUAUUUUUGGAAUGUGAGAUAUAAAACGCCAUUCUUGCCCUUUCUCAAAUUGGCACUGUUGUUCCAGUGAAGGACACUUGAGGACAUACAGAUAAGAGAGGGAGUUUGGCCGUCUCUCUUUUGUCAAGUAUUGGAGCUUAGGGCACUUGUAGAGAUCUAAGGUUUCAAGAGUGGUGAGGUGGUGAAGACCCGCUUAAUAAAAAUUAAUAAAAUAAAUGAAUUUAUUAUAUCUGGAAUAUGUAUAUAUGUCUUAUCUUAGGAUUAAUAUAUAUUAAAUAUCCAUUAAUAGAAAACCCAUUUUUUCUCUUUCCACAAUCUAAUCCUAAUACGAAAAAUCUUGAAAUAUUAUUGGUUUUCUAGCUUUCUUUUAAUUUCUCUAAAAUUUUUCAUUAAGUAAAUAAAUUUGGAAUCAAACUAUACCUCAUAGGUAAAAUUUAUUAAUUUUUAAAAUUAAUUUCAAACUCAAAAACCAAUUUAAUUAGUACUAAAAAGUCAAAAACACAAUAAUAUUAUAAAUUCAUAGGUCAAAAUUUAUUUAAAAUAACUUGGUUAGCUUCUUCUUCACAUAUAACCUAUUUUUAUAAAUUUUUUUCAUGAAGCAAAUAAACUUCAAAUUAAUCGAGACUUGAUGUGUUGAAUUCAUUAAUGAGUUUAAUAAUUUUUAAAAAUAAUUUAAAACUUAAAUAAUUAUGUAAUUAAUACCAUCAAUUUAUAAAUAAAAAUUGGUUUCAAAUGACUCUAUUUUUUUUUAUUUUCUAUGUAAAAUUAUUAUUUUCUUAUUUUUUUGUUUCUAUUAUGCAAAUGGACUCCAAAUUAAACAAGACUUAAUGUCAUAUUUUUAUCAAUGAGUCUAGUAAUUUUUAAAAAUAACUUAAAACUUAAAUAGUGAACCAAUUACUAUUAAAAAUUUAUGGACAAAAAUUGAUUUAGAAUAAUUUUAUUUAUUCUUUUUCUUUACAUAAUCAUUAUUGUCCGAUUUUUUAAACAAAUAAACUUUAAAUUAAACAAGACUUAAUACAUCGGAUUCAUUAAUAAGUUUAAAAAAUUUUAAAAAUAAUUUAAAAUUCAUAUAAUAAACUCAUUAAUAUAAGAAAUUUAUGAAUUAAAAAUGAUUCAUAAUGACUAUUAUUUGUAUUUUUGGUUUUAUUUUAAAAAUAAUUUUUUAAAAAUAAGCGUUAGAAGACAUGUUCAAACGGACCCUUAGCUUUUAAAAAACAAUGCAAUUAUGCAUUUUACAAUCUUUUCUAAAGGUAAUUACAAAUUGUUUUAGUUGUUUUUCCACCUUUCAACCCAAAAAAUUGUUGAAAAUAUAAAUAAAAAAAAAUAUUGUGAUAUUCAACUAUUUCACUUGAAGUUACCCAAAUAUGAAAAUAAGGAUUGAAGGGUGCAAUCAUGCAACCCAAUGGCAUUGAUUUAACAUAGGUUUUGUCCAAUUUACAACCAUAUAUAUUAGUGCAAUCACUAAUAAAAACUCAUUUUAAUGAUCAAGAUAAGUCAUUCUUCUAAUUAUGAGGUAGUAUGCUACAAUUUUAGAUUGAUUGUUCAAGUUUAUGAAUUGGUUGUAAACAAUCCAUCAACUUACAAUAAACUUAUGACUUGGAUCUUUCGUAUAACUUUUUAUACACUAAAAUCUUAUACAAUGCAAGUGAUGUAAACCCGAGUGUUCAAAUAAAUAUUAAUGUAAAUAAUGGCAGAAUAAUGGAAAUAGAAAUCAUAAUAUUAUAUAUAUAUUUAUGAAAUUUCACUUAGUUAAAUCAUGUUAUAUUUUUAAAGGCUUUGAUUUUUUUAAUUGGAUCUUGGGCUUUUAGGAUUUGAUCUUGGGUUUUAGUUGUUUCAUUCGAUGUUAGGCAUUUAUAAUUUUAUUUGGGAACAAUUCAUUUGAUCGAGGCUUCAAUUUUUUGAUGUGGGCUAUAGGCUGUGAUUAUUUCGGGCUUUGGGUUUUUGUGAUUUGGGCUAGUUUUGAUCAUUUAAUUUGUUGUUUUGGGCUUUGGUUUGGAUUGAUAUUUGAUUAGGCUUUGGGUAUUGGAUUUGUUGUUUCUUAAUUUGGAAAUAAUAUUUGACAUUGGCUUUUGGGCUUCGCUUUUAAUAUGUAGUUUUGACCUUGGUUAAUUCCUAUUUGAGCCCCUGGUCGGAUUAUUUCAUUUUGGCCUAUUGAUUUGUUGACUUGGACUUUGUGUUUGUGCUUGUUUGUGAUUUAGGCUUGGUCUAUUGUUCUGGGGUUUUAGUUUGAUUGUGGGCAUUUGUGUAUUACUUUGGGCUUGGCCUUUAUAAUUGUUUUGAAUUUAUUUAUGGUAUGGGCUUGGUUGUUUGAUUUUGACCUUCUAUAUACUCUAUUUGACCUGGGCUUAGGGCUUUCAUUUAGUUUAUUUGAGCUUGGUUAAUUUGAUUUGGAUUUGGGCCUGUUAUAACUUGUAAACUAUUUAGGCUUGCUUUUCUUUUAUUGAACAGAAUCAACAAAAGUAAGGUGUAUAUUUUUUUAAACAAGCAGAAUACGCGCAUUCAAAGUUUUGAAAAAUAGUUUUGAAAAAUUAAUUUUAAUCUUUUUUAUGUAUAUAAAUAUUUUCCAAAAAUAACUUUAUGAUAUAUAUUUCUUCAAGCAAUCAUAAACGAAAAAAAAAAAAAACAAAUGAAAAUAACCGAAAACAACUCAUAUAUUUUUUCAAAAAACACCUAAACCGGCUUGCUUUUUUUUUUUUUUUUUUAUCAAACAGUUUUCCUAUUUUCUUGUUCUUAAAUAUAGAUAAACAAAAGUGGUUCAUUGUGACCCUAUCAUUUGUCUUUUGUUUUUUAAUUUUAAAAUAGGUUUUAAAAACAAGUAGAAAAAUAUGAUGAAACGAACCCUUAUCUUUUAAAAAAUAAGGCAAUUCAAAAUACAUUUUAAAAGGCAAAUUAUAAAUUUCUUUAGUUGUUUUCUCAUCUUUGAAUCGAGAAAAUUUGUUUGUACGAUCUUUCCAUCUAAUUAGUCCCUUGAAAUAUUUGUCCCCUUUUUCAGUAUUAUCAAUAUAUUUAUGACUAUUUGAAUGAAAAUAUAAGAAAAUAUCAUAAAUAUUCUCAUGAAACUCCUUGAUAGCAAUUAUUUCACUUAUCAGUGAAAAUAAAGUUACCCAAAUAUAAAAAAGGAUCGAAGGAUGCAACCCAAUGGCAUUCAUCGAGAUGGCAAAGUUUGAUACAAUUUGCAAAUACUUCUAUAUAUACUCAUCUUAUCUUAUAUUUCAUUGAAUAUAAGAUAAGAUAAAUUAAUGGAUAUUUAUCAUAUAGUAUCCCUACCAAAAAUGUCCCCUCCUUUAUUUGAACUCAUGGUAGGUGAAAGAAUGUAUUUUCGUGCAAAUGAUAACAAGGCAAUGAUUCGAGAUCAUGAAUAGAAAGAAAUUCCAAAAGCGCUACACAGUAACCUUCCUCAUGGUUGGCCUUAGAGCUGAAUCCUCCUGAAUGCACCAAAUGGACACCAUCACUAGCCUCUCCAACCUCUUCAUAUCAUUCAUAAUUUGCAUCCUCAUCAUCUUCCACCAACUUCUCCAACUUCCUUUGCACAAACAGUUCAUAAUCUCGAUCCAUUAGAGCUUCCUCUCCGUCUUCCAUAUGAAAGAGGAAAUCUUCUUCUAACACAUUGUCUCUAUAAAUGGCUACUUUGCAUAAGCAAUCCUCUUUACAUGACUCUUUAUACUUCUCCUGCUCAACCAAUUUGUGUUGUUUAAUUCUUUCAACUCCACUUCAUCCUUCGCUUUCUUCACUUUCUUCGCUUCAUCUUCAUCUGCUUGGCAACUCCACUUCACUCUCACUCUCAAGAACAAAGUUACCGAGCAUGGCAGCAUGAGUAACCCCUUUAACAGCCGACUAAGUUCUCCAAAGCUCAUAUCCUCAUUUGUCAGCGAGUUUGAACUCCCCAUUUUUGGUGAGUUCAAUUUUUGUACCCUUCUGCCACUUCUUUAUCUGCAUACCAAAUUAUUGUUUGGUAAUUCAUGUUCGCUAAUUGCAUAUAGAACAUAAUUAGCCCUUUUAAAAAUAAUAAUUAAUAUGAUCAAUCAUCUUCUAAGAUGGCAUGUUACAUAAAAGGUAACAAGAUUAUGCUACUUUUUAAAAUUUUUCCUUAGGGUGUCAAUGUCAUAAUGUGGGUACAAACUGACAGUAUAGGAACAAGUACAUUGAUAAAAAUUAAAAGAGAAAAAUUCGAAAUUUAUUCAGAGAAGUAGCAUCAAUUGCCUAGGGAAUAAGUGCCUGCAGAUGUUACUCCUUAGUCCCCAGUAUGCUUGAAACAAACUGGAGACUGAUCAGUUUCUUACAGUAUCAGAAGACGGCAGCCUAGCUAUAGCUAACCACACAAAGAGAUUGAAGAACACUGAGCUGCCAAGUAGUAGUGACCCAACAAGAAUCAAGGUAGACUUAUCUGGGCCUGUCUGCAAGCCUUUUGCUCUGUUUUCCACAGGAAAGAAGGAAUCUCUUCUGCCAACACAUUGUCUGUAUAAAUGGCUACUGCACAGAAGCAAUCCUCUUCACAAGACUCUUUAAAACUUCUCCUUGUCAACAAUCCGUCUAAUCCAAAGUUCAUAAUUGGAGAUUUGCCAGUCUAUGUUGUUAUUCUAUGAACUCUACUACCUGCUUGGCAUCUGGACAUUGGAAAAUUUGGUCUUUAAAAUAUGGAGCCAAGAAAGAAUGCCUACAUAGGCACUCACAUCUGAACAACCCCCUCUCCCCAUCAAACAAUACAAUAGCUGUUGAAUCCACAAAUCCCGCUGCCACUGCCACUUGCAGCUGCAUUGCAAUUGUCAUCAGUAAUUGCCUGCAGAACAGACCAAGAAGUAUUAAUGCAGUUCCAAUGGUUUGCAGUGUUCUGUUUUCGGUGCUUAUAUAAUUAAAAUCAAGUGUUGUCUUGUAUUAAAAUCACUCCCAAAAUCUAUCUUCUGAUAAGAGGUUAACUUAUGUGGCAAGAUGGUAUCAGUGGGAUUCUUGAAGCACGCCCAGGCGCAAAUAACUAAAGCCAUAUUUUCAAAAAAAUUUGCUUACCAACCAAGAAAAACCUGGUAGAAUUAGCAGGUCAUUCAAGUACAUGUGGUUUUGGCCUCUUAAAUAUUCAAUCACAGGUACAUUCUAUAUGAUUUUAAGCGACUAGAGAAGAAUGAAAAAGAAAAUUAUGAGAAUGUCAACCAGUGUGGAAACUAAUUUCCUCAAGUAACUUCUCUCAAUAUCAUUUUCCUUUGUGACAAUAUUAAAGACCUAUAGUUACAAGUUACAACUUAAUUUUCAUCUCCGGACUUACCAUGUGAACAUACUUGAGUCUGAUUGUAACUCGACCCAACCAAGCAAGGGUCAUCCAUACUUGAUACCAUUGACAUUGGUUGAUGGAAUUGAGUCACGGGCUAGUCCAGCUUGACUAAUAGUCAAAUAUGCUCUCAAAACGAACUUUCCUGAGAUUGAGAACAAACCUUGUAUCAUAAAAAGUUCAUAAAAAUAAAUCUGGAGAACAUUUAAUAUAGUCAACAACCAACUCUUGUUCUUCAUAAGAGGUGGUGAAUUAGCUCAUAAUGUAGAAGAGUAAAUUUUCUAAAGCAUGAAAAUGGGGGAAUAAGCUCAAAAUCAUCAUUUCUAUACAAAAUCAGAAAGUUCAAUGAGAGAAUUGCAUUCAAUUACUUUAAGAUAAUAACAACAUCAAAAUAAAAAACAGAACCACAAAAGUCUUAUAGUCAAGACAAUUUAAUUACAAUAUUCGUCGUGGGAAUUUUGCGGUAUAAACCCUCAUUUAGACUUGGACUUUUUAAUUUUCUUUAUGAAUAAACAAUUGGCUCCUGCUCAAAUGAAAAAUGAGAACCAAUGCUCAUAGUCACAGACAGAAGUGUAGGCAUGGCAAUACCAAUUUUGCAAAUGAUCAUUUGGUCAUAGUCAAGACCUAAGAAAAGCCAAAACAAGAACAAUAGAACAUCAAAAUUGGGACAGAAACAUGUGUAGCAACUACAUAAUAAAGAUUUGUGUCAAUCUGCUCACCUUUUGAAGGUGGUCCACUGGUUUAGUGCAAAAUAGACUGAUUUUUUCUUUACAGGGGCCCUCAAUCAGUGUUGGCUGCUGAACUAGAAGAGAGUUCAGAUAACUAAAAAAUUCUAUAAAUUCAAUACCAUAAAAUACCUCACAUAAAAAUGUUGCUUUUGGAACUGUAGUUUUCCAAAUGUUCUCAAAUUUAAAAAUACAUUGGCAUAAAGUUAUUGAUGUUUACCUCAUAUUUUUUUCCAUGGUCAUAUCAAACAUUGUUCUCAUAGUAAGUCUUCUAUGUUGAUCCUUGUUGCUUAAUAUGAAACACAUAAAAGAAAAAGUGGUGAUCAAUUUAUUUUGAUAUCGAAGGGAGCAAAGUCACAACAUGUACAUUACAUAUGUAGCCAACUAAGUAUAUAUUAUGAUGUGGGUAAGAUUCAAUACAUAUUUCAGUAACCAUGAAUUACCUAAAAAUGUACACGUGUUCUUACAGGAGAUAAACACACAAGUAGUUAAGAGUCAUCUUUGCUGGGCAACCAGGCAAUUGAAAAAAUUUGGUCUCUAAAAUUUGUAUCCAAGAAAGAAUACCUAUACAGGCAACAGUCUGGAUAGCCUCCCCUCUUCAUCAAGCAAUACAAUGGUUGUUAAAUCCACAAAUCCCACUACCAUGGCUACUGGUGUCUAUGCUGCAAUUGUCAUCAAAAUUGCCUGCACGAUAGACCAAGAAGAAGCAUUUGUUUUUAAAAUCAAAAGCUUCUAUAUAUAAGUAAAGCAUCUUAUACAAAAGUGUAUAGAUUUACAUUUUCAGAAAUUUUAAAUUUGAGAGAAUGAGAGUUUAUUUGGUGAAGUUUUUAAAAAUAAUUUUCUAUUUUUAAAAAUUGAAAAAAGUUUAAAAAAAUUAAUAACACGGUUUGGUUAUUCUUAUCGAUUUCCUUUUUUAAAAACAAAGUAAAAUAAAGAAUAACUUUUAGAGAACAAUUAAAAGUUAUUUUUAUCUAUUUUUAAAAAUAAUAGAAAAACACAUGCACUCUAUUAUUUUUCUUCUACAUAGAAUUAUUAUUUUUCAAUUUUUUUGGUUAAGCAAAUUAACUCCAAAUUAAACAAAACUUAAUGUGUUGUAUUUGUUAACAAGUCUAUUAAUUUUUAAAAAUAAUUUAAAACUUAAAUAAUAAUCUCAUUAAUACCAUAAAUUUAUUAAUAUAAUAAAAUAUCUUUUUUUUCUAACAAAUAAUAAAAUAGUAUAAUUUCUACUAAAAAUAUAAUUUAUGAUUUUAUUAUUAUAUUACUAUUUAUGUUUUACUAAAAACUAUAUAUUUUUUAAUUUUUUUGUAAUUACAAAAUUAUUUUCAUUUUCAAUUAGAAUUCAAUUCAAUUUAAUUAAUUAAUAUUAAAUAAAUUGAAUUUUAAAUAUUUUUACAAAAUAAAAAUAAUUUUAAAAAAAAACAAUUUAUCCAAAGAAGUCUUUUUUUAUUUUUUAAAUUCAUUUUACAAUAAUAACUUACCAAAUAUCCUUAAUUUUAUAAAACAUUAAAAAACCUUUUUUGAUUCUUCAACGUUAACAAAGUUUCUAAAAAAACAUAAGAAAUCAUGUUCAAACAAAAAGUUUUAAAAAAUUAAUUAAAGUACUUAAUUGACUUAUAUUAAAAAUGAAUAUUAAACUUAUUUUUAUAUUAUAGAAAUUUUUUAUUUCACUAUAAUAAAAAAAAUCGUUUCAUAAUUAAAAAUAAAAUUACUUAUCUUUAACUAAUAUAUAAUUUUAAUAAGACUUAACUUGAAUUUGAUUUCAUAUUAUUAUAAAUUAAUUUUAUAAAAUAACUAAUAUAUUAUUUUAAAAAAUAAUACAAAUUUUUUCAUCCAAAGUUCUUGCUUUUUGUUUUAAAAAACUAUUUUUUAAAACAUCUUGUCAAAUACUCUAAUUUUUAAAAAAUUAUAAAAAACAGAUUUUUGUAGCCCUAAAUUAUUUUUUUGAUACCUUGAUUGUUUUAAACAGUUUUUAAAAUUAUUAAUUUUUCAAUGUAAGCCUUUAAGAGUUAAAAUACAAAAGUUACUGUCACUUAAUUUUAGGCUUAACAAUGUAGGAGAUUUAAGUGUAGGCAAGGAAUUAAGCAGAUAUAUUCUUGAGAUUAGAAAUUUGGGUGGAACAUAAAUUUUGUAAAGAAAUUAAGUUUAAGCACACAACAAUUACCUGCCCAUGUGUUGGUGCACUGCCACUCCCAUUAAAAUAGCACCCAAUCGAUCACUAUUUUUGGAAUGUGAGAUAUAUAACGCCAUUCUUGCCCUUUCUCGAAUUGGAGCCGUUGUUCCAGCAAAGGACACGAUCCGACAUCCAGAGAACAGAGGGAGUCUGGCAGUCUCUCUUUUGUCAAGUAUUGGAGCUUAGGGCAACGGACGAUACUUAAGGUUUCAAGAGUGGUGAGGUGGUGAAGACCCGCUUCUGUCAAGGAUUGGAGCCUUACGCACGACCAGAUUCGUAAUUCCUUGAGAGAGAUAAGGCGUUGAAGAACAGAUCCUGUCGAGAAUUGGAGCUCAGGGCAGUUCUCGAUCCGUAAUUCUCGAAGAGAGGUGAGUUGUUGAAGCCCCUUGUUGUCAAGAGAGUUGAGAUUUGGAAGAACACAGAUUGAAAGAUGAGUUAGAGAAGAGGGCAGCAGACACUCCUUGGGAAAUAAUUCCACGCCUUCACAUCCACCUCCGAUUGUGAAAUGAGUAAGAGAGGUCAGUCUUUGCAAAUCCCAGUCCACCUGUGACGUGAGUUGGUUGCAGCGCCAUAUUGCAAGUUCCCGUAGGUUGGAAGGCAAACCCUCCCUGUGCAACAACAAUUCUGGACAAUCCGCUAAACACAGUUUCUGCAGAGAUGAAUGGGUGUGCGCCAGCAAUUUGAGAUUGGAGCAAUUCCAAAUAUCAUGGUACAUCGAGUCAAGAGCAGGCAGUUGGAUGUAUACAAGAUUAAGGCACCGAUGGAUCUUCAAAUUACGAAGAGAUGUGGGAUCCCCCUCUGAAAUCGAGAUGCAGAGCUCCUCAAGCCCCUUAAGACCAUUUAUUUCGAAAUCAGUCAACCUGGGGAAGAUGUCCAAUACUGAGAAGGACAACAAGAGAGAAUCACAGGUACCGCCAUUGAUUGAUAGAUUUUCGAGAACCGGGUGAUGGCAUCUGAACAACUCAGGUAGAAGAAGGUCCAAUUUGGUACAAUCAGAGAUUGAUAACGAUUUCAAUGUACUGGGUAAGCCAACUUUGUUUGGGGAUCUGUAAAAAGAGCAAUCACAAAUUUCCAAACUGUACAUGUUGGUUUGCAGGAUUUCCUCCUCUAGUAGAGACUCCACAGAAUCAGAUUUUCUAAUGUAGAGAUAGUGGGGUACCAGUGGAAGUUGCUUCAACUGAGAGACGUCUGAAAUUUCAAUUUUUGAAGUUUGACUAGUUGUGAACCCACAAGUUUGCCUUUUCAACUGCAAUUCACGGGCAGCAAGAACGUUGAGUGUAGGCACAAGCAGUUGCGGACAAUCUUUAAGGUUAAGUUCCUGCAAUGAAGAAAGGUGCAUUGGUAAUUCCCCAGUGAGUUUUGGACAUAGCCUUAUAGAAAGCUCCUGGAGACGAGGGAAUUCUCCACAACAUAACCAUUUCUCCCAAUUGGACAUAUCUUCAAAUGAUAGAGUUUGCAGGGAUGGGAAGGAGGGAUGAAGCGAGGAAGAAGAAUUCCCAUAAAACUCACUACCCACCAUCACUACUCCACUCAUUUUUGAGAUCUUUAUAUGUUCAAGACAAGGUAGCUGCCCCAGUGGCGGCAAUGUUGAGCAAUUCCCACAAUUCGAAAGCUGAAGGGACACGAGCUUUGAAAAUGAUCCAUCUCCAAGCCAAUCUGGAAAUGUUAGACCAGGAUAGUGUUGAAUGGACAGUUUUUUUAAAUUUGGAUGAGGUGUUAGCCUGUUGAGAAUAUCAUCUUGUAUAGCAUCAUGACUAAUCCCCCAACUCCAAUUCAAGGAUAACUCAUCAAGGUAUUUCUUAUCCUUCAUAUUCGCCUGCAAUGCAUCCUCAACACCCACCACAUUCUCCAUUUUUGAAAUUUCAAGUCUUCCUCGAAUCUCUGAAAGCUUCCACAAUUCUCCAAAUCUGAAUCCACUUUCUUUGCCCACAGUAAAAUUAGGCAAUUUCUGCAAACUUUUUAAUUGACCUAUAUCAUUUGGCAUUUCUUCCAAUGAAUUAGACCCGCUAACAUCAAGAUAGCGCAAAUUAAUCAACCUCCCCAUUUUCGAAGGCAAUUCAAGAAGAUGCCUACAUUUACUCAGCACCAUCGUUUGCAAAUUGCACAAACAACAUAUUGAUUCAGGUAAUCUUUUAAUCAUUGUUGUAGAGAGAUCCAAGUAUCGCAACUGUUUUAAAUUGUGUAUUGAAUCAGGCACAUCUGUUAUGCAGUAUCCACACAAUGACA